rnacentral:rRNA from 1 species
CUCAGUAACGGCGAGUGAAGCGGCAACAGCUCAAAUUUGAAAUCUGGAGCCUUUGGCUUCCGAGUUGUAAUUUGAAGAGGAUGUUUCGGUGCGACCUGGGCCUAAGUUCCUUGGAACAGGAUGUCAUGGAGGGUGAGAAUCCCGUACAUGGCUGCAGGUUUGCUUCUAUGUGAAACUCCUUCGAAGAGUCGAGUUGUUUGGGAAUGCAGCUCAAAAUGGGUGGUAAAUUUCAUCUAAAGCUAAAUAUUGGGGGGAGACCGAUAGCGCACAAGUAGAGUGAUCGAAAGAUGAAAAGCACUUUGAAAAGAGAGUUAAACAGUACGUGAAAUUGUUGAAAGGGAAGCGCUUGCAAUCAGACUCGCCUUCAGUUGAUCAGCCUUCCUUCUGGUUGGUGCACUCUGCUGUUGGCGGGCCAGCAUCAGUUGGGGCGGUGGGACAAAGGUAGCAGGAAUGUGGCUCAUCUCGGUGAGUGUUAUAGCCUGCUGCGUCAUGCCACCAGUCCCGAUUGAGGUCCGCGGUUCUGCCUAGGAUGCUGGCUUAAUGGUUGUAAGCGACCCGUCUUGAAACACGGACCAAGGAGUCUAACAUCUAUGCGAGUCUUUGGGUGUAAAACCCAUGGGCGAAAUGAAAGUGAACGGAGGUGGGAGUCCUCGGAUGCACCAUCGACCGAUCCUGAUGUUCUCGGAUGGAUUUGAGUAGGAGCAUAGCUGUUGGGACCCGAAAGAUGGUGAACUAUGCCUGAAUAGGGUGAAGCCAGAGGAAACUCUGGUGGAGGCUCGCAGCGGUUCUGACGUGCAAAUCGAUCGUCAAAUUUGGGUAUAGGGGCGAAAGACUAAUCGAACCAUCUU